rnacentral:rRNA from 1 species
GACGAACGCUGGCGGCGUGCUUAACACAUGCAAGUCGAACGGAAAGGCCCUGCUUUUGUGGGGUGCUCGAGUGGCGAACGGGUGAGUAACACGUGAGUAGCCUGCCCUUUACUUUGGGAUAACUUCAUUAAACUGGGACUCAUAUCGGGUAUGAACUCCUUCUACAUGGGGGGGAUGGGAGAGUUUGGGCGUUUGGUGAUGCAUGCGCGAUUUAGCAGCUUGUUGGGUUGGUAGUGGAUUACCAAGGCAUUGAUGGGUAGCCGGCUUGGGAGGGUGACCGGACACAUUGGGACUGAGGAAGGGCCCAGACGCCAACGGGAGGCAGGAGUGGGAAAUAUUGCACAAUGGGCCGAGGCAUGAUGCAGCAACGCCGCGUGCGGGAUGACGGCCUUCGGGUUAUAAACCGCUUGCGCCUGUGACGAAGCGUGAGUGACGGUAAUGGGUAAAGAAGCACCGGCUAACUACGUG